rnacentral:rRNA from 1 species
UUCCGGUUGAUCCUGCCGGACCCGACUGCUAUCAGAGUGGGACUAAGCCAUGCGAGUCGACGUAGCAAUGCGUGGCGAACGGCUCAGUAACACGUAGUCAACAUGCCCAGGGGACGUGGAUAACCUCGGGAAACUGAGAAUAAACCACGAUAGGUCACGAUUUCUGGAAUGGAUCAUGGCCUAAAUCUACAUGGCCCCUGGAUUGGACUGCGGCCGAUCAGGCUGUUGGUGAGGUAAUGGCCCACCAAACCUAUAACCGGUACGGGCUCUGAGAGGAGAAGCCCGGAGAUGGGCACUGAGACAAGGGCCCAGGCCCUAUGGGGCGCAGCAGGCGCGAAACCUCUGCAAUAGGCGAAAGCCUGACAGGGUUACUCUGAGUGAUUUCCGCUAAGGGGAUCUUUUGGCACCUCUAAAAAUGGUGCAGAAUAAGGGGUGGGCAAGUCUGGUGUCAGCCGCCGCGGUAAUACCAGCACCCCGAGUGGUCGGGACGAUUAUUGGGCCUAAAGCAUCCGUAGCCGGUUCUGCAAGUCUUCCGUUAAAUCCAGCCGCUCAACGGAUGGGCCGCGGAGGAUACUACAGGACUAGGAGGCGGGAGAGGCAAGCGGUACUCAGUGGGUAGGGGUAAAAUCCUUUGAUCCAUUGAAGACCACCAGUGGCGAAGGCGGCUUGCCAGAACGCGCUCGACGGUGAGGGAUGAAAGCUGGGGGAGCAAACCGGAUUAGAUACCCGGGUAGUCCCAG